AAGCGUUGUUCGGAUUUAUUGGGCGUAAAGCGCGUGUAGGCGGCUUCUUAAGUCUGAUGUGAAAGCCCUGGGCUCAACCCGGGAAGUGCAUUGGAAACUGGGAAACUUGAAUACGGGAGAGGGUAGUGGAAUUCCUGGUGUAGGAGUGAAAUCCGUAGAUAUCAGGAGGAACACCGGUGGCGAAGGCGGCUGCCUGGACCGAUAUUGACGCUGAGACGCGAAAGCGUGGGGAGCAAACAGGAUUAGAUACCCUGGUAGUCCACGCCGUAAACGAUGAGUACUAGGUGUUGCGGGUAUUGACCCCUGCAGUGCC
rnacentral:rRNA from 1 species